GAUGGGCCCGCGGCCCAUUAGCUUGUUGGUGAGGUAAAGGCUCACCAAGGCAACGAUGGGUAGCUGGUCUGAGAGGACGAUCAGCCACACUGGGACUGAGACACGGCCCAGACUCCUACGGGAGGCAGCAGUGGGGAAUCUUGCGCAAUGCGCGAAAGCGUGACGCAGCAACGCCGCGUGAGGGAAGAAGGCCUUCGGGUUGUAAACCUCUUUCAGGAGGGACGAAGGUUCAGGCGCGAAUAGCGUCCUGGACUGACGGUACCUCCAGAAGAAGCCCCGGCUAACUACGUGCCAGCAGCCGCGGUAAUACGUAGGGGGCUAGCGUUGUCCGGAAUCAUUGGGCGUAAAGCGCGCGUAGGCGGCCCGGUAAGUCCGCUGUAAAAGUCAAAGGCUCAACCUUUGAAUGUCAGUGGAUACUGCCGGGCUAGAGUCCGGAAGAGGCGAGUGGAACUCCUGGUGUAGCGGUGGAAUGCGCAGAUAUCAGGAAGAACACCGACGGCGAAGGCAGCUCGCUGGGACGGUACUGACGCUGAGGCGCGAAAGCGUGGGGAGCGAACAGGAUUAGAUACCCUGGUAGUCCACGCCGUAAACGAUGGGCACUAGGUGU
rnacentral:rRNA from 1 species